GCUUACAUUGGGACAGGCCUAACAACAGUAGCCCAACACGGCCUGCCACUAACUCCGCGCACGGACGGCGAGGCCGACGCCGCCGGUACUGUCUCUGCCGGAGUGCUGGAUAUCCGCCCGCUGCUCCUCAGUCGACCCUCCGCUCCCGCCCAUGCCUCGACCCAAGCCCGCCGCUGCCGGUGGCGGCUGGCUUUCAGGGUGGGGGUGGGACCUCAUGCUCGGAUCGAUUGCCGCGUUCUACGCCGUCAUGGCGCCCUACACCAAGGUGGAGGAGAGCUUCAACGUGCAGGCCAUACAUGAUAUUCUUUAUCACACUUAUCACAUCGAGAAGUAUGAUCAUUUGGAAUUUCCUGGAGUUGUUCCUCGAACGUUUAUAGGAGCAUUUGUUAUCUCUAUUCUCUCAUCACCCACAGUCUUUGUAUUGCGUUUACUUCGUGUUCCAAAGUUCUAUAGUCUUCUUACAGUUCGAUUAACAUUGAGUUGUGUCACUUUGAUGAGUUUGAGACUUCUCAGAGUUCAGGUAAAAAAGAAGUUUGGCCAUCAAGCAGAAGCAUUCUUUGUGGUACUAACUGCUAUCCAGUUUCACUUGCUGUUCUACUCAAGCCGUCCGCUUCCAAAUAUCUUUGCUUUAGCUUUAGUCAACUUGGCAUACUCUUUCUGGUUCAAGGGAAGCUACCUAUGUACAUUACGGGCUCUGAUUGUUGCAGCAGUUGUUUUUAGAUGUGAUAUGAUUCUGCUUCUUGGCCCAAUAGGGCUUGCACUUUUGCUCAGCAGAUCUGUUUCUCUCUUGGAAGCAAUAAAAUGUUGCAUAAGCACUACCCUUGUAUGCAUAGGAUUUACCGUGCUAAUCGACUCUAUAAUGUGGCGUCGAAUCCUGUGGCCAGAAUUUCAAGUUCUCUGGUUUAAUUCAGUUCUGAAUCGGAGUUCAGAAUGGGGUACCCAUUCAAUUCAUUGGUACUUUACAUCGGCGCUUCCCCGUUCCAUGAUAGUGGCAUACCCUCUCUGCAUGGUUGGUGCUCUUCUUGAUAGAAGGAUAGUACCAUACAUGUUUCCGGUCUUCUUAUUUGUUGUGCUCUAUUCAAAACUUCCACAUAAGGAACUCCGUUUCAUAAUUGGCUCAAUUCCCAUGUUUAAUGUGUCUGCUUCACUAACAGCUAGCAGACUAUAUAAUAACCGAAAGAAAGCUGGGUGGAAUUUGCUUUUUAUUCUCAUGCUUGGUGCCUUUCUUGUCAGUCUAGGAUAUUCUACUGUGACUUUCAUGGCAUCCUACAACAAUUAUCCUGGUGGCUAUGCUUUAAAGGCUCUACAUGAAGCAGAUUCUUCAGUGAAGGAAAAGAUGGUACAUAUUGAUGCCUUCACUGCAAUGAGCGGGGUUUCUCGUUUCUGUGAAAAUGAAUAUCCUUGGAGGUAUGUUUCUAACCGACAAAACUAGUUGAUAUGUAUGCUACUAUGCUAUUUUAUUUUUUCUGUUGAUUGCUCAAAUCUUCUUUCAUUAUUGUUAAUUAAUAUCACCAGUCCAUUAGUUUUUUCUUUCUGGAUUAUUGAUUUUGGACUAUCAGGUAAAACUUAGGUCAUAUUAGUUUUACAAAUACUCUUAGUUAUAGGAUGCAAUUAUUGUAAUACUGAACCAGACACCCCUUUCUUUGCAAACUACACUUUCACUAUAUUUGACAAAUUAUACCUAGUCUCAUACACGACAUGCCUGUCUUAUCCGCUUCCCAACUUUUGUUGUGGCAUACUAAUUUCAUAUUUGGAAGCAAUGGAAUUCAGAAAUGGAAAUCAGUUUCUGUGCCCACCAGGACGGCACACCCUCUGGAUAUCCUAGACAUCCAAAACGGUACAAGUUGAGAAACGGAGCUGUGAUUGUCCAAAACCCCACCCUUAGGCUGUCUCCAGCAGCUAUCCUAUUGAUACGCCUGGGCCUUCUAGGAGUGCUUAAGGGCGAAUAGAGGAGCAGCGCAGCCUGGGACAGGGACCUGAGUGCGUAUGGUGGAGAAGAGUGGGAGGAAGAAGCAGGAGCAAGAUCACCGUCGGCCAGGGUGACCGAGAUACUCCAAGGAGGAAGAAAUUCCCAUCGAAGAAUUUGAGAAAAGGAAUUUCACCUAUCUACUGAAUGAGCACCGCUCCAUCGGUGGCUACCAGUGCCUGUUCGCUGUGGAUGGAUUCUCCAGAGUAAAACUUACGCCCCAAAUCCCCCCGCUCUCUCUGGUGAAAGAACCCAAGGUGUUUGCACAUGGGAAUACGAGAGACCCUGACAUUCUUUCACUGAGUUGGCCCGGUUGUCCUUGAGGGCAUGGGGACACCGGACACCCAGAUUCCUGUGGCAGGACCACUAACUGCCAGCAGUGAAGAUGUGUUUGAGUCAGUCCGCGUGACACAUAUAUGGUAUACAUCUCUGGGUCUUGCCAUGAAGCUACCUUACCUGCAAAUCUAGAAUGGGGCCCCUCCUCCCCUAGAUCCCACGGCUUCGAAACCACAGCUUUAAGGAACACUGCCAUUUUCAGGUGCAAAUUUGUGUAACAUUUUAGAGCCGGAAGAAAGACAGAAAGCACACGGGGGGUGGGGGGAAUCAUAGCAAUUAGCAACCUUGUAUUUACAAGUUGGUCGAUAUAUUUUUUUCCCUUUUGAGGCAACUUUCAUACUCCAUCUUAUAUAACAAGAGCUUCUAGACUUUAUUUAUC